rnacentral:rRNA from 1 species
GGAAACUGGGAUUAAUACCUUAUGACACUUUAACCUCGCAUGGGGAAUAAGUUAAAGCGUAAAGCGGUGGAAGAUGGUCUCGCGUCCUAUUAGCUAGUUGGUGAGGUAACGGCUCACCAAGGCGACGAUAGGUAGCCGGCCUGAGAGGGUGAACGGCCACACUGGAACUGAGACACGGUCCAGACUCCUACGGGAGGCAGCAGUGGGGAAUAUUGCACAAUGGAGGAAACUCUGAUGCAGCGACGCCGCGUGAAUGAUGAAGGCCUUCGGGUCGUAAAAUUCUGUCCUUGGGGAAGAUAAUGAC